rnacentral:rRNA from 1 species
GAUGAACGCUGGCGGCGUGCCUAAUAUAUGCAAGUCGAGCGAACAGACGAGGAGCUUGCUCCUCUGACGUUAGCGGCGGACGGGUGAGUAACACGUGGAUAACCUACCUAUAAGACUGGGAUAACUUCGGGAAACCGGAGCUAAUACCGGAUAACAUGUUGAACCACAUGGUUCAACAGUGAAAGACGGUCUUGCUGUCACUUAUAGAUGGAUCCGCGCCGCAUUAGCUAGUUGGUAAGGUAACGGCUUACCAAGGCAACGAUGCGUAGCCGACCUGAGAGGGUGAUCGGCCACACUGGAACUGAGACACGGUCCAGACUCCUACGGGAGGCAGCAGUAGGGAAUCUUCCGCAAUGGGCGAAAGCCUGACGGAGCAACGCCGCGUGAGUGAAGAAGGUCUUCGGAUCGUAAAACUCUGUUAUUAGGGAAGAACAAAUGUGUAAGUAACUAUGCACGUCUUGACGGUACCUAAUCAGAAAGCCACGGCUAACUACGUG